UAAACGAUGUCGACUUGGAGGUUGUGCCCUUGAGGCGUGGCUUCCGGAGCUAACGCGUUAAGUCGACCGCCUGGGGAGUACGGCCGCAAGGUUAAAACUCAAAUGAAUUGACGGGGGCCCGCACAAGCGGUGGAGCAUGUGGUUUAAUUCGAUGCAACGCGAAGAACCUUACCUACUCUUGACAUCCAGAGAACUUAGCAGAGAUGCUUUGGUGCCUUCGGGAACUCUGAGACAGGUGCUGCAUGGCUGUCGUCAGCUCGUGUUGUGAAAUGUUGGGUUAAGUCCCGCAACGAGCGCAACCCUUAUCCUUUGUUGCCAGCGGUCCGGCCGGGAACUCAAAGGAGACUGCCAGUGAUAAACUGGAGGAAGGUGGGGAUGACGUCAAGUCAUCAUGGCCCUUACGAGUAGGGCUACACACGUGCUACAAUGGCGCAUACAAAGAGAAGCGACCUCGCGAGAGCAAGCGGACCUCAUAAAGUGCGUCGUAGUCCGGAUUGGAGUCUGCAACUCGACUCCAUGAAGUCGGAAUCGCUAGUAAUCGUAGAUCAGAAUGCUACGGUGAAUACGUUCCCGGGCCUUGUACACACCGCCCGUCACACCAUGGGAGUGGGUUGCAAAAGAAGUAGGUAGCUUAACCUUCGGGAGGGCGCUUACCACUUUGUGAUUCAUGACUGGGGUGAAGUCGUAACAAGGUAACCGUAGGGGAACCUGCGGUUG
rnacentral:rRNA from 1 species